rnacentral:rRNA from 1 species
GACGAACGCUGGCGGCGUGCUUAACACAUGCAAGUCGAACGGAAAGACCCUGCGUUUGUGGGGUGCUCGAGAGGCGAAGGGGUGAGUAACACGCGAGUAACCCGUCCUUGUCUUAGGGAUAACUUUAGGAGACAGGGGCUAAUACCGGAUAGGAGCUACUGCAGCGCGGUGGGGGAUGGAAAGUUUCGGCGGUUGGGGAUGGACUCGCGGCUUAUCAGCUUGUUGGUGGGGUAGUGGCUUAACAAGGCUAUGACGGGUAGCCGGCCUGAGAGGGUGACCGGCCACAUUGGGACUGAGAUACGGCCCAGACUCCUACGGGAGGCAGCAGUGGGGAAUAUUGCACAAUGGGCGGAAGCCUGAUGCAGCAACGCCGCGUGCGGGAUGACGGCCUUCGGGUUGUAAACCGCUUUCGCCUGUGACGAAGCGUGAGUGACGGUAAUGGGUAAAGAAGCACCGGCUAACUACGUG